CCCGGCCCCGGAUAAGCGGAAGAAGAUGGUAUGGUAUGUUAUGUCAACUGGCUGAUGAAGCAGACACCCUGGGACCCUAUGGAAGCAGCCCUUAAAAUAAGGCGCUGUGACCAGGAGGCAGCUACACCCGAUCCUCCCCUUGCUGUUGUUAAGACAACUUCAGGGCUUCUUGGAGCAGUGGUCAGUGUUUUUAGAAGCAGUGUUUAGUGGCCCCAGGACAACUGAAAUCAAUGGUGAGGAAGAUCCUUGCCCCAUAGAGUGCGGUUCUUGCUACGAACCCACGCUAGGCCUCCCAGGAUCCACCACAAGCUGCUGUCUGGGCCGAAGAGGAGGUUAUGCCACAGCAGUCUUUCCCCGCUUCCGAGGCAUUCUGAGCUGCUUCUUCCCGGGAGCUGGCGGGCAGUCCUCAACAGAGUGGACAACCGAAAAGUAAAGAGACUGGUCCCAGCCAAAAGGGGUCCGUAUCUACCUGCUCCGCAACCGGGAGGAAGACUUGAACAGUGGCUGGAAAAGAUGAGAAACACUCCGGGGCGAGGUGCUGAAGGACACUGAGCCACUUGUUGGGUGAUUGUGGACAUUUCUCUUUGUAAAUAGUUCACAUUGUUUCUCUCUACCAAGACCUUUUAAUCAGUGCAGAGGCUUGUGUGUGUCGCUGACCCUCAGAUCUUUGUUGUUUGUAGUAUAUGACUUCUGGAUUCUUAUGGGAAACCGUUCUGAGGUGAGAUGCCGGAAUAUUGUCAGUCAAUUUUCCUAUGUGUGGUUUCUUUCCAUGCUCAUAAUCAUCUUAAAACACAAAUUUGUAUUUGUUUUAAGGGUGACAUUUGUCACCCUUUUAUUUCCAUAAAAUGUGUAGAUAGUGAACUGAACUGUGUAUAGAAGUACUGCUGAGUAGAAGAUUUCAAUGGUGGUCAGUAACAGUAAUAAUCCAGGUCCCACUGUUGUAUCCUUUAAUUUCUGACAUGUGGUGGAAGAAACCUCUGACAUACAACAGAAUUGUUUGGUUGAGCUACUUUAUUGUAAAUAACUUGUUUGUAUUGUUUUGUCGAGGCUUUGUACAGACUACACAUGGCAAACUAACAGAAUGCUUUCUUUUUUGGAUCAAAAGUCCUUUUGAUCCGAGAGCCCCUGAAGGUUAAUCACCUAUACCAUAGCCAAACUAUCCUCUGGAAAUGCUGGUAUCUCCAUAUGGGCCUUGGUACUCCUCCUGAAGGGGAAAGAAGUAAAAGAUUAAGAAACACUUACAAUGUGUUAAACUAAUUAGUUCAUAGCUGACCCUGUGACAAAAUAAUUUUCGGUCUAGACCUUUUAAAGCAGGUAGACCUGUUUGCUUUGGUGUGGGUGGAUAUUAAAACAGUACCAUUCAAUGUCAUCAAUAAUCACAGUACAGACAUUGUUUUAUUACAUGUGAACUUAUGGAAAAUACAUUGAUUAUUCUGUUAGUACUUCUUUACUGCAUGCCUAAUAUUAUGUAUACACAUUGACCUGUCCUCUAUGGUCAACAUUUGUUUUUCUGUAUCUGUGUUCAGGGACAGUAAUGAUUGGCAUGGGCCAGGCCCUGUUCUAUCAAUUUGCAGAAACCAUCAAAAGCAGCAGGCAGUUUCUGUUACUUGUAUUGUGCAGGUUAAUGUCUGUAUUAUUUACUGGGAGAUAAGUUAGCAGAAAACCCCAUACAGUAACUGACCCAGCUGAUAUGUGAGCCUCACAGGGUUGCCUGGGCAAGCAACAUUCUAUGAUUUCUUGUCUCCUGGAUCUUUGUGCAACCAUGCAUUUCCAAGGCUAUUAUGGUUGCAACUAUUUCUUGUAUCUGCAUACAGCAAGGAUUAGGGGCCACAUAUGCACAGUUUGGAA